GCCAGACUCACUGGGUCUAAUGCAUGGUGUGUCUUUGAGGGGCUGAGCCACACGAGCAGAGCCCAAUAAAUUAAAAAGCAAUGUACAACCAGCCUGAAGCAAUGGGUAGCACUUCUGACAAAUGCCUGCAGUAGCUCAUGUCCCGUGAGAAGAUUUAUCUCCAGACCUACAGGUUCCCUUCAGGAACACUCCAGGCACACUUUCACCAGCACCAUCAUCUAAUAUUAGUUUUAUUACAGGCAGAGAACAGAGAGAGCUGCCAAAGAGGAGAUCAAGGGAUGGGUUGAUGUUCAACCAGAGGAGAAUUUAACAGUCCAAGGUGUGCUGCUGAAACAGCAAUGUGAUGGUCAUGGGAAAACCACUUACAUGGACCUCUCUAGGAAAUGUUGGCUCUCAUGACCUCUCUCAUACACGUCAGACCCUCCACACUGGAAUUGGAACAUGUAGAAGGAGUUUCUUCGUGGUUAAACAGGAAUGUCUCUGGAGGAUACAAGCACUUUGCAAGCUCAGGGAGCUCCAUAGUCCAUCAGCAAAGCAUCUGGAACAGCCACACCAAAACACUGCAGAUAACUGCAGGAGAGGUGGGGCUUUUGCUGCCCUGCAGCCUGCCUGUUGUGGAAAGCAAAACUUUCGCCCAGACUGCCCAAACUCUCUUUCUGAACCCCAAAAUACUUCAAAUCUGACCAUCACAUGUUACCACUCCUGAUGGAAAAAAGAUCCUUGUAAAAUACCCUUGGAAGUUCCCCAGGCUCUCUGUGUUUUUAUUUCUCAGACAGUGGUUAAUUUUUCAAGCGAAAAAACUAAUAACCUGCUCAAACAUGGAUGAUAAAAUCUGAGUCUCAGCCAGUUUUUAUUGGAAAAUAUCAGUAGAAACACAGAAAAGUCUUGGAAAGAAGUGCCUAUAUAAGAGGAGUUUGUCAGCUGGAAUUGUCGUGCUGUCCUCUCUGAUGGUGGAGGGAAGCU